CGCGUCGUCUUCCGGGUUUCUGUUCGCCGCUCGGGCUUCCUGGUGUUCCCCGGGCGCCUUCAGUCCUCCUGCCUUGCCCUUCAGCACCGUGAUCACGUGGAACGCUGGUGGGCCGACCCGAGCUUUGCCUGAUGAGUGCCAGAACUAACAGUUGGGACUCAUGCAAAACAAUAUUCCUGGCACUAUGUGAAUCAAGAUGAGAACAAUGCCAGAGGAAGACACAUCACCCUGCAGUGCAGCAACUAACUGGCCCCAGAAUCCUUCCUGUUCAACAGCUGAGCAAAGCCACCAGGGAGAAAUGGAGCACCUGAUGUGUUGUGUUUCGAUGUCUUGACAACCCCAGCUGCCGGGAGUGAGUCAGCCUCACCUGAGCCGCACAGGGCGGUGCUGAGCACAGGAGGGAGGUGUGAGUGCUGAGUCCAGGAGGGUGAGGAUUCUGGAUGUCAUUGAUCAUCAGCAUGACCACUUGAAUCCAGUCUUGAUUCGUAAGACUUCUGGUUUCUGAUUCAAGGAUCUACAAGGGCUACAAUGAAAUAAUCAACUAGGGGCUCAAGUUUAAAUUUUUUGCAACCCAUUUCCUCCACAGCCUGUGACAUACCCACUCACCACUACACAUGCAGACCCAGACAACAUACCAUUGCUUGUGUAGUAUACAUUCAGAAGCAGUUUGGGACGGGCAUAGCAGCGUCAGACCUUGUCAAGCCUAAGCCAAGAUUUUGAUGAACUCAAAAUCUUAGGAUUUGGGGAAAACUUAGAGUCCAUAUUUCUCCAUAACCUAUAAAGUCUUUUUAAAGCUCUAACUCUGUGUGGCCAGACCCCUGUGACUGGAACCUCAUGACAGCAGGUAGAUGUAUUUACCCUGAAACCAAUGAAAUGCCAACAUGAAGUCCACACUUAAUUUUGUAUCUGUUGAUUCUAUUUCUUUCCUAAAGAAAGUCUCCAAAACCUGUAAACUUCUGGCCCUGAGCAAUCUGAGAUAGGAGCAACAAAUAGGAUAUUCUAGAGGACUAGCUAAAACUACUCCGUUUAAACUGAAAACUAGUUGUUCUUUUUAGCCCAACACUUACCUUUACCAAUCCCUCUUUCUGGAAGCUCUCACUUCUUUUUCUAAGCACAAGGUACCACCUCAUACCCUGUCGUCACGUCCCGUGACUUGAAAUUCUCCACCUGUGACAUCACAUCACCCUACUUCACGCCACUUGUCUUGCCAUGGUUUCACGCAUAUUUGCAUAUUUUAUUACUCUCUAACUUUCCCACUAAACUGGAAGGGACACGAAGCUCAUGUGACAUCCAAUCCUUUUCUCACCUCUGCAGUUCCAGGUUUGGCACAGAGCCUAGCACACAGUUCACACUCAGCACACAACUGUAGACGGAAUCAAUCAGGAACAUGCAAGAAAAGCUCAGCUACACACAUAUUCAAGGAGAACCGAAAUGUCAGUGUGAUGAGGAACUACAUUUUAGCUCAUUAUAAAGUACAUUCUCUGAUAAUUAUUGCUAUUCAACAGUGAAAUGGGCUAUCUUAAAAUGCAAAGAAUCACCAUUAAAAGUUCAUGUUCACUACCAG
rnacentral:lncRNA from 1 species